rnacentral:ribozyme from 13 species
AAAAAAAAAAAAAAAAAAAAAAAGGGGGGGUGGUUAGUUGGGGGUUGCAUUUUCCUUGUUUAAAUAUCUGAUCUU